GGAGUUAGCCGGUGCUUCUUCUGUGAGUGAUGUCCUUCCUGCCGGCUAUUAACCCGCAGGCCUUCUUCCUCACUGAAAGUGCUUUACAACCCGAAGGCCUUCUUCACACACGCGGCAUGGCUGGAUCAGGGUUGCCCCCAUUGUCCAAUAUUCCCCACUGCUGCCUCCCGUAGGAGUCUGGGCCGUGUCUCAGUCCCAGUGUGGCUGAUCAUCCUCUCAGACCAGCUACGGAUCGUCGCCUUGGUGAGCCGUUACCUCACCAACCAGCUAAUCCGACAUAGGCUCAUCCGAUAGCGCGAGGCCCGAAGGUCCCCCGCUUUCCCCCGUAGGGCGUAUGCGGUAUUAGCCUGGGUUUCCCCCAGGUUAUCCCCCACUACCGGGCAGAUUCCUAUGCAUUACUCACCCGUCCGCCGCUCGCCACCAGGGAGCAAGCUCCCCGUGCUGCCGCUCGACUUGCAUGUGUUAGUCCUGCCGCCAGCGUUCAAUCUGAGCCAGAAUCGAACCCUGA
rnacentral:rRNA from 1 species